UUAAAGCACGGGGGCAGGACCUGUGGGUAGGAAGAGCUGCACUGGGGUUGUGACAAGUAAUUCAUUAUACACCCUCAGCUUGGGAGGGGAUCAGGGAUAGAGUCUCUAAGGUAUUUUCGAAGCAAGGUUUCCAGGACCUUGAGGGGCUAACCGUUGCUACGGAAACACCAUUUAUUACUGUUUCCUAAACCUCACUCGUGAGGUUUCAGAUGCAUAUCCAGGGCCAUUGGCUUGGAGUAUGAUUGCCAGCAUAUAUCUUGGGGCAGUUGAGACAAAGGAAGUUUCCCAAGGAAUUUUUAUAUGUUAAAGUAGACUUACAGGAUGGGGGAUUGGAGGGGGUGGGAGGGGGUCAGAACAAUGUUAAGCCAAGGUUCCCUUUUGUCCCCAGCAAAGUGUCAUCAUCGAGGCAGCUGAGCUCCCAGAGGAGGUCACCCUGCCUGUUUCAAGGACUUGUCAAUGGGCCGUAGGCAGUUGCUGAAGGUGGAAGGUCUCAUCUUCUGUAGCUUCUUGCUGCUGAGAAGGGGUGUAGAGACGUCCCUACCUACAUGGGUCAGUAUUGGUCAGGUGGGGAAUGCAUGAAGGAAUCACGAAAAGCAGAGGCAGCUGAAUCCAACACGGACAGUAAGGUGGUAUCUCUGUGGGUAAGGAUCGUCUGCCGUCGAGAAGCCAUUGCAGCGAUGGAAUCUCUGCACCAAGCGAAAGGACACGGGAGAAAACAGCAAAACAUAACUAGAAUAAGUAGAAGGAUUAGCUCGAAUAAAAGUUCUUUGGUAGUUGACAAGAA